GCCGGGCGUGGUGUUGCAUGCCUGUAAUCCUAGCUACUUGGGAGGCUGAGGCAGGGGAAUCGUUUGAACCCGGGAGGCAGAGGUUGCAGUAAGCUGAGAUAGUGCCACUGCACUCCAGCCUGGGUGCCAGAGUGAGACUCUGUCUCAA
ensembl:misc_RNA Metazoa_SRP Metazoan signal recognition particle RNA